UUAUUAGUUCAAUUUUUAUACAAAGUGUACUUCGAAGUGAUACAAAGUGUUACCAUUUCUUAUACACACUAGAGAUUGAGAUCUGUUAAACGCUGGUUUAUCCUUGUGCAUAUAAAGGUAGAAAAUGUAAAUAGACUGGCAGCGACCCAUAAUGCUGGAAGACAGUUCAGUGUUUACUCAGUUAAUAAAAGUUGCAUAGAAUUGUAGGUCUUUAUAAAGGCAUCUUCUACGUGGUAAAAUCUCCCUGACCUACCGUACUCCAUCUGACACCAGUACGGGAGAAAGGCCAGGCUAGUACUGCUCCUUGUCAGUACUGCCCAGCACUUCUGAGGAAAGCGGCUGGAGAGCACCAUGCCAGAAACAUCCAAGAGGACAGCACAUGGGAAAUUCCAUUUGCAAGGCUACCAAUUUCUAUAAAUUGUAGGAACUGUUUGCGACUGGGGUCUGUUAAUACAUUACUUCAUACAAACACCUAAGAACAUUUCAGAUAAAACCACUUUUGGCCAGUCAAAAUACAUCACUAUAGCAGGUAUUUUGCUUGACUGUGCAAUUCCCUCCCUUUCUAUGCUGACAAGAAACUCUUGUUUCACAAGAGUUCCACAUCCCUUUCUUAACCACUUGCCCUGUCUGAGUUUUGUUUCUGAAUCUCCCAUGCUUGGUACUGUGACACUGACAUUUGGAUAAAGAUUUGAUCUCUGUUUAAUUCUAAUGCCAUGUUAACUCCCUGCCACAUACUGGCAGCUCACACUGCUGAGCUGUCUGGUGGCACAAGCUGGUGCAGCCACAUCUCUGCUUUUGGGCUGAAGGAACAGUCACACCACACUUGUUCUCUCUUUCAUCUCCUUCUUCCAGCUGCAAAGAGCCAGAAGCAGCAACUCAAAAUACAACAAUUUGCAGUUACUGGUCCACUUGGAGCAGCAGUUCCACUUGUGAGGAAAUGGAACUGAUUAACGUGUGAUUUAGUAUGAGAAUAGUAAUAUCAGUAAUUCCGUGCUAGAAUCCUCCUGUAAAGCACUUUUAGCAGUGCCUCAUAUAAUACUAAAGUAUGAUCAUGAUUAGGGAAGUAGCAUUUCCAAGUGAAUGUCUUUAACUUAAGUCUAUUACAAUAUAUAUGGAGUCUUAGUUUUUGUGAUUAACAGACUAUUUGAAAGAAAGAAAAAAAUCCCUUGCUGCUGCCAACUGCUAUUAAGAGCUGCAUAAUACAUGAGACUGGAAAAGCAAGAAGUAGAUGAAAUAUUAACAUAAUGGGCUAUUUAAUGUAAUUGUAAGACAGGUCAAAUGAUGAUGAUACUUCAGCAAUGCCACCCUGUGAGAGGCUCAUUAGCAGAGGAAAAUCUGAAGUGCAGAACCGUUAUCAACCCAGAGAAAUGGCAUAAAGCUUAAAGUCACCAGAGGGACCUGAUGCCAUUAGCUACUUGUGUGCCUAUUUAAAACAUCUCUGAAAGUGCUUCUUUGCAGCUAAAGGAAACCAAACUGACAGCCCAUUCCAGCAGCUGGUGGGCCCAAAGCAUUGCCACAUUUCCACAGUGGAAGUUUGGACUGUCAGAGCUGGACUGCACAGCAGAAAGUCCUUCCUCACCACCCAGAACACGUUUUCUCAUGCAGUUUCAUGUCCAUCACUUAGGGGAAAGACAGCAGACCAAAUGCUAAGUAAACAUUAAAUAAACCCUAUUUUCCACGCUAGGAGGAAUUUAGUCAUAAAUGUGUGGGUGAAGGUUCUAAAGCAGACAAAUGCAGAGAUCCCAUUAUAAGGAACACACAGAGCUAACAACUUGCUUUCUUCUGUGGUCAGAACAGAAAAGACUGGGUUACUGCCCUCUGAGGAAAGAUGAUCCAUCAAGUUCUAAAGCAUUUUGAUGUCAUUUUCUUUUUUACAUUAGGCAAAGUAGAUAAAGUCACAUCACAACCACACAGAUACAGAACACAGAAAAGCACUAACUGAAUCUAAUAGCAUGAAAUCUGGUGUUGCCAAAAAGCGUGAAAAUUGGUGUGAAUGCUGCAAUAAUGUCAUGCAGAGCACAGAUACUCACAGCUUGCUUGUUUAAAACACGAGAUUGACAGCAUUCUUACAUUCUACCUAUUGCUUUAAUACACACACUGAUGUAAGUGAACUGACCACUGAAUAUUCAGUGUGAAUGAAGUCUUCUGAAAUUACAGCUACUGGUUUACUGGUUUAGAUUAUUAAAUAUGGCUGCUUAAGAGAUGUGUUACAGCAUGAAUCGGUGAGUUUGCUAGUGUCCCAAAUACUCUGAAUUACUUUGAAUGUGGGAGUUUUUCCCUGAAAAAAACCCCUGCUUUUACAGAAGAGCUAUUUAUGUCAAUUUUUAAAUACACAAGACCAGUUUUUAAAUAUGUAAGACCUGAAUAUGUGCACAUCUGCCUCAGUGGUACUAAAGAAACUGCAAGUUAGGAGGGUUUAUUAAUGCCUGAAAUUCAGAUACCUCUAACCACAAAUCUCCAUAGUAGACUAUGUGCUAAAGAAGAGUGCUGCCUCUCUCUUUGGUUAUGAUAUAUGCUAUAAAAGCAUUGCUCUGAGUGACAGUAAUGCAGUUGCUUCCUGAACUACAAAAUUAACAUAUUCUGGUUGUUGAACCUGCACACAUAUUCCUGAGCCUUCAAAACUGAUUUAACACAUUCAGUGAACAGAAGGCCAGAUGUCUCUAUAGUUAGUCCACUGAUGAGCUGAGAAUAUGGCUUAGUUAUACCACUAUAAACAACAUGAACAGACUGUGUAAAAAGUUUGGAGAAAGUCUUUGAACAGAUUUCUCAUGCAGUGCUUACAGAUAAAUGCCUCAUUAUUUUGUGGGUCUGUUAAAAAAUCCUAUUGCAAACUUUGAAUCAUAAAAUCAUCAAGGGCGAAAGAGACCAAGUUCAACUGUCAACCCAGAAAUACCCCUGCAACU